rnacentral:rRNA from 1 species
UACAGAGGUCUCGAGCGUUAGGCGGAAUCACUGGGCUUAAAGCGUGUGUAGGCGGAUUGGUAAGUACCUUGUGAAAUCCCACGGCUUAACCGUGGAACUGCUUGGUAUACUGCCUGUCUUGAGCCAGCUAGGGGCGACCGGAACAAAUGGUGGAGCGGUGAAAUGCGUAGAUAUGUGGAGGAACACCGAUGGCGAAGGCAGCCCCCUGGGUUAACACUGACGCUCAUGCACGAAAGCGUGGGGAGCAAACAGG